UACAAUGACUCCUUCGUCUUAUUUAAAUUUUUUUAUGAUUAAUAUUUUUAUUCUUACUAGAUGAUAAAACAUAAAUAGUAUUUUAUCCAUAACUAAUUUUUUUAAAGUUUUUUACAAAUUUUUUAAAUAAAACAAACGGUCAAACGUUGCAUACGGAAAAACA
rnacentral:pre_miRNA from 1 species